GCUGGGUGAGGUGGUGCACACCUGUAAUCCCAGCAACUUGGGAGGCUGAGGCAGGAGGAUGGCAAGUUUGAGGCCUGCCUUAGCAACUUAGCACAGCACUAAGCAAUUUAGUAAGACCCUGUCUCAA
rnacentral:sRNA from 1 species